UACAGAGGGUGCAAGCGUUGUUCGGAAUUAUUGGGCGUAAAGCGCGUGUAGGCGGCGAGGCAUGUCGGGUGUGAAAGCCCUCAGCUUAACUGAGGAAGUGCGCCCGAAACUACCUUGCUUGAGUACCGGAGAGGAUGGCGGAAUUCCCGGUGUAGAGGUGAAAUUCGUAGAUAUCGGGAGGAACACCAGUGGCGAAGGCGGCCAUCUGGACGGAUACUGACGCUGAGACGCGAAAGCGUGGGUAG
rnacentral:rRNA from 1 species